rnacentral:lncRNA from 1 species
UAGCCUCUUGCUCUUUUUGUCUUUUAUGUAUCAAGCAUCUUUUUGUCAUCCCAUAGGAAAGAAAAUGGGAAUCCUGGGACCACUCCAUGACAGUCCUUCAAAGGUCAAACUUGGAUUCAGUAAAGACAUCCUGGCAGAGAGAGCUACAUGAUUUCAAAAUAAAGGAUCCAAGCUUUUUAUAUCUAAAUCAGGUUACAACACAAUGUUUGGAUUGCUGUUAUGUCGACCUCACUUAUGUGGCUUCCUGGACUUCUGAACUCUGGUUUGCUUUUGCCCACACAUCUGAGUGACCCUUAAUGUAUUUAUUGAAGACCUGUUACGUCACCUGCAACUCUACACUGCCAAGUAAAAGCUCAGAUAAACAACUUCUGACUGGGAAGAUUUCUUCAUCAAAAAUACCUCAAUUGUUUUUUGUUUUCAUAAAGUGAUUCCAAGAGAAGUAUUAAAGGCCUUUAGGUGACAUUCUCCGAGCGCAUGCUGUGGAUUGCCUAAGUGAUAUUCCAGAGGCUUCUAUUUCACGAUGGUGAACUGAGGCCAAGAAUUUGCCUUCCCUCCUUCCUGAGAUACUUUCAAAAUGAUCGAAAGGAAUUUCUUAAUGAUAAAUCAAUAAUAAUGAAGAGAACAGGAGGGGAGCCAUCUCUGAAGAAGAAAUUUUGACAGAUUUUAGGAAGACAAAACGCAUUUGGAAGAAUGUCAGUACAUCAACAGAUAAACCAGAGAAAAGGUAUAUGCGGCCCAGAGUACAUGAGGUGAGUGACAAUGGAGGACAGUGGAGAAAGGAGUGCGUCUUAUAGGCAGGACUCCAGGCUGAACCCCAGCCAAAAAAAAUAAAGUCUUUCCCUCUGAAGACAUUAAUUAUUUUGUUUGGUGUGAGUAUUGACAUCCUAAAGUAAGGUUUUCUUGUUCAGGAAUACCCUAGAGAGAAGCUUGCCAGUUGAUAGGACAAGCCCCCAGACACAGAAACUGACAGCAUUGCUAUUCUUCACUCCUAAAAAUGAGUUGACACCUAAAGAUGAACAAACAUUUAAAGGGGAAAGAUAAACAAACCCAUCAUAAAACAGCUUUCUUAUUUACUUAUUCUUAAAAAUUAAUGGACUAAUAAGAUACUUGAGGGAAAAAUAGAAAAGCACAUCAUAAGAGAUCGAAUUCAAGAAAACAGAGACUUAAAAGGACAUUAUAUCCAGAAGAGAAAACCAGGAAACCAGAUUUCUUUUCCUUAAACAAAAAUGAGAGUGAGCAGUGAAUAUUUCUGGGAAAUUAAAUUGUCAAAAUUAAAAAAUAAUAAUAGCUAAGAAAGAUUCUUCUUUAAAGAUGUUAUUUUUAAGUCAUCUCUACUUCCAAAAUGGAGCUCCAAGUCACAACCCUGAGAUCAAGAGUUUCAUGUUUUACCAACUGAGCCAUCCAGGCAUCCCAAAAACUAAAAAUUUAUUAAUAGAAAGAUUAGAAGAUGGAAUUGAGGAAAUUUCCUAUAAUAUUGAGCAAAAUGACAAAGGAAGGAUAAUAAGAGAAUAAGAAUGAGGUUUGGAGGACAAAUGCAGCCCUUAAUAGCCAAUUAAGAGAAACUCAGAAAGCAAUAAGAAAGUAGGGAAGAAAGUUAUCAAAGAUACAAUAAAAUAAUUCCAAGAGCUGAAGGGAAACACAAAUAUUGAUCAGAAUUAAUUAAAAAAAGACUUAGCCCUUGAAAUAUCAAAUCCCCCAGGAUAGUGUUUCUGAGCUCUCAGUGGGAGUGGGGAGGAAUGUAAACCAGGAACUAUAAGGGAAUUUGAAUCAAAAUGGAUCAGAUUUCUCAUCAGCAAUGACGGAUCUUGGAAGACACUGAAAUAAAGGCUUCAGAA